UACGUAGGGGGCUAGCGUUGUCCGGAAUCAUUGGGCGUAAAGCGCGUGUAGGCGGUCCGGUAAGUCCGCUGUGAAAGUCGGGGGCUCAACCCUCGGAUGCCGGUGGAUACUGUCGGGCUUGAGUACGGAAGAGGCAAGGGGAAUUCCACGUGUAGCGGUGAAAUGCGUAGAGAUGUGGAGGAACACCUGUGGCGAAGGCGCCUUGCUGGCCGAUUUCUGACGCUGAGGCGCGAAAGCGUGGGGAGCAAACAGG
rnacentral:rRNA from 1 species